rnacentral:tRNA from 1 species
GGUUGGCUAGCUCAGUUGGUUAGAGCGUCGAGCUAAUAUUACGUAGUACUUGCGUAAGCCACUCGAAGGCCAUGGGUUCGACCCCCAUGCUGACCA